rnacentral:lncRNA from 1 species
UAAACAAGAAGUCUUCUUUAUAUUUGUGAAUAAAGCUGGAUGCAUAAGAACACAUUUAGCACAGAAUGGAAUUUGUCUGCAUUAGGGAAAUGGGUUUAUGAUGUUCCCUUCUCCUUAGCAAACAUAUUGUGCUGUCAAAAUGAAUACUGAAGCUCUCAGUGUCUGACUCCCACUCCCAAAAUCAGUAUUUUCAAAUAAUCAGUUUCACUGCACGUUAUUUUGAGUGAGUUUUGCCUAAUGUCACUUUCCUUCCAAAGUCAUUGAUAUUGUCAAAAUAAUUGUGGGACAUUUUGCAGCGGGCACCUGCAAUUAUUCUUUUCCUGUUCUAUAAAAUGUUGAGCACAUGCAGAUUUUAGAGAGGCAAAAACUCACUUUUUCAUGAAUUCCUGCCUGAGGAUAGCUGUAGCAUUUAUUGUCUGUACAUAUUGCUCUGGCAUAAAGAGAAUUAUAGAUAAUUCUUAUUAAGGGUUUACUGUAGUCCAGAUAUUUUUCCAAGUGUUUUGUAUGAAUUAACUCAUUGUGUCUUUUGUGUUAACACUAUUUUAAAAUAAUCAUAGUUAUGAAUCAAGAAGCCACCAUAGGAUAUGUGUCAGACUCAGAUAACUUUGAAAAGUACGAAACUAAUUGGUAGAAAUCUGUCACAGUGACAUAAAAAACAAACAAACAAAAAAACCAAAACAGUAACUGUGGUGUUUUUUUCUUUUUCAGUCACAAAUUCAUCCUCAAAUAACAAACGCCAUUUUGUUUAUUGUUUUUUUUAUUUUAUUUUGAGAUUCAGAUCACAGUUAAAACUCUUUCUUUAGAAGAAUGUUACUUGUUUUUUCAGUAUUUAUCAUUUCUUAUCUCUGUUUAAGGACGCCUGCAGAACUGAUUGUAUCACAAAUAAAAAGGGUGUGCAGUUAUUUGUUGUUUCCUUCUAUAGUUGAUUUCAGUUUGUUCUUCCAGUCAGCAAAAAAGAGAGACAUUUUUACGUAAAGCACUUUGUUUUAGAAGCUUUCUAGUCUAUCUGAUAAAUAUUGUAAAUCAUUAAUAAACCAUCAUGAUUUCAUUCUCUCGCAUUUAAUCUAAUAUUUACUCAUAAAUUAUAGCUGUGACACAUGAAGCCAUAUCACAGCCAGAGAUGGGAACAUAAGGCUUUGGAUUUCUCAUUUGAUUUUGUUCUUCAUUUAUUUAGCAGUGCUGCUCUUCAUGUUCUAAAUGUGCAUAUGAAAGACAAGGAAUGACUAAGUUAAAAUCCCAAUUAAAAAGGAAAUAUGGGAGUCCCAUUAUCUUUUCUAACUCCAUCAUUAGCUAUUUUAAACUCAGUUACUCUAGGCGGUGAUAAAGACUUGAUUUCAAGUCUGUCAAAUGCCAUACUGUCUUGAGAAAAGAUAUGACUAAAUUUAUACAAGAAUAUUUUUUUACUCCAGGGCCUUGAAUAAAUUUGGAAAGUAAAAACACCAGUGUUAAUUAUGUUAUUUUAAUAUUUAUAAUUUUUUUUUUUAUGGCCACACCGAUGGCAUAUGGAAGUUCCCAGGCCAGGGAUUGAAUCUAAGAUGCAGCUGCAACCUAUGCCACGUGGCAACACUGGGUCCUUUAACUUGCUGCACUGGGCUGGGGAUUGAACCUCUGCCACCUCUUUCCUCAGUAACCCAAGCUGCUGCAGUAGGAUUCUUAACCUACUGUGCCACAGUGGAAACUCCAGUAUUUAUCAUUUUAAUAUUAAUUUUUUAUUUACAAAGUAAUUCGAGUGAAGGAUUUGAUUUAUUUAGAAAUAGAAUACAACUAAUUUGUAUAAAAGUUUUAAAGCUGCUGAAAGUUACUAUUCCUUUACCACUGUAGUUGGUUAUCUGGUCAAGAUUUAGGUGCAAUUUUUAUUGUCUAGGGGAUUAGUUAGUAUUUGAUUAAUGCAGUCUCAUCACCUUGAGAUCAAGCCAAGGAUCUCUGUCUAGGAAAAACCUGGAAGAUGUCAUCACAGCCUUGCUAUUUACUUAAAUAAAUGUGUUCCUCAAGUGGAAAAUCAGAAUUGAGUAAAGUAAUAGCCACAAUGUAGGGCUGGUAUUCUCUCAUAGGUACAAAUAAGGCACAUAGAGACAAAGUUUUAUAGUUUUUAAUUUUUUUCUUAUUUAUUUUUCUUAUAGGGAAAAUUAUUAAUGUGAGUAUUUCAAAAAUGUCUAAGCAAAUAAUAGGGAAAUUAAUAAAAGAAUCAUGAUGACAUGCGGGAAAAGAAGGCUUUUAUAAUCUUCAACUCUUCAUUGAUAGCCUCAUCAACCAUGGGGUGGGUGUGUGUGUGUGUGUAUGUGUGUACACAUUUUAUAUACACAUACACACACACAUAUAUAUUCAGAUAGAAGAGAGAAAAAUGAAACAGAUAUAGAGAAAAAUGUUGAGAGAAUAACUUUUGUCAACCUCCAUAGAGAAUGGAAGAGCAGAUAGCAUCCUUAAUUCUUCAGAGCAUUCCAGUGACUGGUACUCAUCUGGGUGACCAAACUUUAUCCACCCUGGCUUCCAAGAGGUGAUUCUGUAUCUGUUCAUUUUUGAGCUUAUACUUGAUGAAAUGAGCAUAAACAGAAUAUGGAGUGAUCCAAAUAGAAUUAUUUUUUAAAUUUAAAGUAAGAAGUACUGGUGAUAUACUUCUCCGGGAACGUCGCCUCUCGGCCUUUUGGUCAAGAUCAAGUGUAGUUCUCUGGCUAUGACAACAUUCUGUAGUUUUCUGACGUGUUACUGUUGGGGGAGGCUUUGCGAGAGGUAUGUAGGAACUCUCCGUUAUUUUUACGUUUUCUUGUGUAGAUAAUGACCUAGCAUUUAGAUAUCGGUUUCUAAUGCUAUUCUCCAAUAAAGGAGUCCAAGAGUCCUUAGAUAAAUGGCUGAUUCUAGGCCUGAGGCAAGGAAUAUACAGGAUGAUCUGCAGCAUCCCCUACUGACAAAGUAGAAAAGUGUUCAAAAAGUUUCACAAUGGUAGAGAUAUGCUAAAGGGACCCAGAAGC